AAUGAACGCUGGCGGCGUGCCUAACACAUGCAAGUCGAGCGAGAAAGUCCCCUUCGGGGGGCGAGUAAAGCGGCGCACGGGUGAGUAACGCGUGGGUAACCUACCUUAGAGUGGGGGAUAACCAGCCGAAAGGCUGACUAAUCCCGCAUACGUCCAGCAGGCAUACGUCUGUUGGGGAAAGAUGGCCUCUGCUUGCAAGCUAUCGCUCUUAGAUGGGCCCGCGUUAGAUUAGCUAGUUGGUGAGGUAAUGGCUCACCAAGGCUACGAUCUAUAGCUGGUUUGAGAGGACGACCAGCCACACUGGAACUGAAACACGGUCCAUACACCUACGGGUGGCAGCAGUAGGGAAUAUUAGUAAUGGGCAAAAGCCUGAACUAGCGACACCGCGUGUGCGAAGAAGGCCUCGGUUGUAAGACACUUUUAGUAGAGGAUAGAGGAAGGACGGUACGUCUCUGAAUAAGUACUCGGCUAACUAACCGUGCCGAGCGAGCCGACGGUAAGUCUAAGUCUACG
rnacentral:rRNA from 1 species